rnacentral:rRNA from 1 species
GAUGAACGCUGGCGGCGUGCCUAAUACAUGCAAGUCGAGCGAACAGACGAGGAGCUUGCUCCUUUGACGUUAGCGGCGGACGGGUGAGUAACACGUGGAUAACCUACCUAUAAGACUGGGAUAACUUCGGGAAACCGGAGCUAAUACCGGAUAACAUGUUGAACCGCAUGGUUCAACAGUGAAAGACGGUCUUGCUGUCACUUAUAGAUGGAUCCGCGCCGCAUUAGCUAGUUGGUAAGGUCACGGCUUACCAAGGCAACGAUGCGUAGCCGACCUGAGAGGGUGAUCGGCCACACUGGAACUGAGACACGGUCCAGACUCCUACGGGAGGCAGCAGUAGGGAAUCUUCCGCAAUGGGCGAAAGCCUGACGGAGCAACGCCGCGUGAGUGAAGAAGGUCUUCGGAUCGUAAAACUCUGUUAUUAGGGAAGAACAAAUGUGUAAGUAACUAUGCACGUCUUGACGGUACCUAAUCAGAAAGCCACGGCUAACUACGUG